rnacentral:lncRNA from 1 species
AGAUCAAAAGGCAAGGGGUUAUAAAUAGAACCCCCACACCAGACCACAAACCCUAGCCGCCUGCCGCUCGCCGGAGAAGACGAACCAGAAGCCGGCCGCCGCCACCCGCCGCCGCACCGGAGGAACUUCUGACCGCCGAUCGAGGUAAAUUUCGUACCCCCGACUCGUUUUUCCACGCUGAUUCCUCCUGUGGCCAAAUCAGAGCCAAAAUCCCGGCCAAACGGCCGGAAUACACGGCCGAAGCCCAGCGGCGCCGCCGCGUCCCUUCUCGGUUUUUGCCUCCAAUGAGGCCCUUCCCAGCCUCCAUUUGAUGCAAUUUUUAUAUCACCGUGAUCACCAUUCUUUUCUCUACAGGUUGACAGGAGCCGAAUCACCAAAACACGAACCUCGCCGGAAAGCCGCCGC